GAUGAACGCUGGCGGCGUGCUUAACACAUGCAAGUCGAACGGUGAAGGCGGAGCUUGCUCUGCUGGAUCAGUGGCGAACGGGUGAGUAACACGUGAGCAAUCUGCCCCUGACUCUGGGAUAAGCGCUGGAAACGGCGUCUAAUACUGGAUACGAGCUGCGAAGGCAUCUUCAGCAGCUGGAAAGAAUUUCGGUCAGGGAUGAGCUCGCGGCCUAUCAGCUUGUUGGUGAGGUAAUGGCUCACCAAGGCGUCGACGGGUAGCCGGCCUGAGAGGGUGACCGGCCACAGUGGGAGAGAGACGCGCCACACUCUCCCGCGAGGCAGAAGAGGGGAAAAUUGUACACUGGGCGAGAGAGUGAGGUAGAAAAGCGGCGUGAGGGAGGAGGGGGUUUUCGUGUUAAACACCUCUUUGAGGGGAAGAAGAGCAAGUGACGGUGCAUGUGGAAAAAGCGCCGGCUAACUACGUG
rnacentral:rRNA from 1 species